UACGAAGGGGGCUAGCGUUGUUCGGAAUUACUGGGCGUAAAGAGUUCGUAGGCGGUUUAUUAAGCUAGAUGUGAAAUCCCUGGGCUUAACUCAGGAACUGCAUUUAGAACUGGUAAGCUAGAGAGUGUUAGAGGUUGGUAGAAUUCCUAGUGUAGGGGUGAAAUCCGUAGAUAUUAGGAGGAAUACCGAUGGCGAAGGCAGCCAACUGGGACAUUUCUGACGCUGAGGAACGAAAGCGUGGGUAGCAAACAGG
rnacentral:rRNA from 1 species